AAACUUCGGAGAUGGUUACAUCCACAAAGAAGACCCCGACAAAGAGAAAGUGUGCCCGAACGACUUAUUUCAUUGGAGGCAACGAGAUCUGCAAGAAUACUUUUCUGUUUCUUAUGGGGUCUAACCACUAACUGAGGUCUAAACCAGGACUAAAACAAGACUAAACCAGGAAGUACAGAUACAAGCUCUAAACAUUGGCAGAGACACCCUGGCUGAUAUAGUCAAACACUAUGAGGAGAAUGGGGCAAGACCACGUUUGAGGAAGAAGCACUCAUUGCCACGUCCACCAGCCAGGUUCAUCAGCCCUGAGGAUAUCAACAGAGUUGUGGACUUCAUAAAACACUAUGCAGAAGACAAUGCCAUCAUGCUGCCUGGCCGACAGCCUGGGCAUAAGGAUUGGCAUGUGAAGUUGCUGCCAACUCAUGUGUCCAAGGCCUCAGUGUGGCGUCUCUACGUGAAGUCUGCUAAGGAGCUUGGUGAGCGUGCAGUUUGUAAAACCAGCUUCAAAGCACUGUGGAACCGACUUCUCCCACACA